UACAGAGGGUGCAAGCGUUAAUCGGAAUUACUGGGCGUAAAGCGUGCGUAGUCGGUUAUUUAAGUCGGGUGUGAAAGCCCCGGGCUCAACCUGGGAAUUGCAUUCGAUACUGGAUAGCUAGAGUUCGGCAGAGGGAAGCGGAAUUUCCGGUGUAGCGGUGAAAUUCGUAGAUAUUCGCAAGAACACCAGUGGCGAAGGCGGCUUACUGGUCCGGUUCUGACGCUGAGGCGCGAAAGCGUGGGGAGCAAACAGG
rnacentral:rRNA from 1 species